AGUUUGAUCCUGGCUCAGAUUGAACGCUGGCGGCAUGCCUAACACAUGCAAGUCGAACGGUAACAGGACUAGCUUGCUAUUUGCUGACGAGUGGCGAACGGGUGAGAAUGCAUAGGAAUCUGCCCAUGUAGUGGGGGAUAACUUGGGGAAACUCAAGCUAAUACCGCAUAAUUCCUACGGGAGAAAGAGGGCCUAUACUUAAGCUCUUGCUAUUGGAUGAGCCUAUGUCGGAUUAGUUAGUUGGUGAGGUAAUGGCUUACCAAGACUACAAUCCGUAGCUGGUUUGAGAGGAUGAUCAGCCACACUGGGACUGAGACACGGCCCAGACUCCUACGGGAGGCAGCAGUAGGGAGUAUUGGACAAUGGGCGCAAGCCUGAUCCAGCAAUGCCGCGUGUGUGAAUAAGGCCUGCGGGUUGUAAAGCACUUUCAAUUGGGAAGAAAGAUUUAGAGUUAAUACCUCUUAAUAUUGACGUUACCAAUAGAAGAAGCACCGGCUAACUCUGUGCCAGCAGCCGCGGUAAUACAGAGGGUGCGAGCGUUAAUCGGAAUUACUGGGCGUAAAGAGUACGUAGGUGGUUAAAUCAGUCGGAUGUGAAAGCCCCGGGCUCAACCUGGGAACUGCAUUCCAAACUGCAAAACUAGAGUAUGGUAGAGGAUAGUGGAAUUUCAGGUGUAGCGGUGAAAUGCGUAGAGAUCUGAAGGAACACCAGUGGCGAAGGCGACUGUCUGGACCAAUACCUGACACUGAGGUACGAAAGCGGGGGGAGCAAACAGGAUCAGAUACCCUGGUAGUCCACGCCCUAAACGAUGAGAACUAGAUGUUAGGAAUUUAUAAUCCUUUAGUAUCGUAGCUAACGCGAUAAGUUCUCCGCCUGGGGAGUACGGCCGCAAGGUUAAAACUCAAAUGAAUUGACGGGGGCCCGCACAAGCGGUGGAGCAUGUGGUUUAAUUCGAUGCAACGCGAAGAACCUUACCUGGCCUUGACAUCCUUGAAUUUCGCAGAAACGUGAAAGUGCCUUCGGGAGCCAAGAGACAGGUGCUGCAUGGCUGUCGUCAGCUCGUGUCGUGAGAUGUUGGGUUAAGUCCCGCAACGAGCGCAACCCCUAUCUCUCUUUGCCGGCGAUUCGGCAGUGGAACUCUAGAGAGACUGCCGGUGAUAAACCGGAGGAAGGUGGGGACGACGUCAAGUCAUCAUGGCCCUUACAGGUAGGGCUACACACGUGCUACAAUGGCCAGUACAAAGGGUUGCCAACCCGCGAGGGGGAGCUAAUCUCAUAAAGCUGGUCGUAGUCCGGAUUGGAGUCUGCAACUCGACUCCAUGAAGCUGGAAUCGCUAGUAAUCGUGGAUCAGAAUGCCACGGUGAAUACGUUCUCGGGCCUUGUACACACCGCCCGUCACACCAUGGGAGUUGUUUGCACCAGAAGCAGGUAGACUAACCGCAAGGAGGUCGCUUACCACGGUAUGAUUCAUGACUGGGGUGAAGUCGUAACAAGGUAACC
rnacentral:rRNA from 1 species